CUCAUUCUAAUCAGGAAUGGCAUUAGAGGAUCCAAAUCUGCUAAAAUUAUCUUUUUAAGUUGAUUAACUUUUCAACCCCCAUACCUGAUGUGAAAUGAGAAUGCAAUUAUAAUCUUUUCAGUUCAUAGCUCUGAUACAGUAUAUGUCCUUAAAUUACACACAAGGGAAUAAUUUGCAGAGAUGGUGCUGAAUGACAAAUUUCACAAGUGUCACGCAUGCUGUAUAAUGAUUAUUAAAUUGUAUUCUCUGGAGUGUUUGCAGGACCAUCUGGGGUGGCUUCAGGCAUUUGGAAUUCCACUUCUAUUACCUAGUCACCAUGGUUUCAGACAACUAGAGAGAGAAGUUAAUACUGUUCCCAGCAGCUGUUCCUCAACUCUUCAUUGAAAAUCCAUGACAGUCACAUCCGGAUAGUAGAAGAUACUAUGCUGUCCUUUUGGAAGAAGGAUGAGUAGUUUAAUUAUCUGGAUUAUCUAAUUCAUGGACAUGUUUGUUGGACAAUUGCAUUUGGAUGCUGGAAUAAUACACAAUGAAAGAUCUGAACAGGUUGUCUGGGUUUAUUGUUUAAUAAGAUAGAAAGUACAGAGACUCAUUUUAAUGCCAAUAAUAAUUCAGAACAAACCAAAUGAUACACAAUAUUUUUAUCCAUAGAGGUAUUUUUCUCUAUUCUUCAGCAAUUACAUGUUUCCAAUGUUCUUAUGAAAUAAUUGUACUGUAG
rnacentral:lncRNA from 11 species